CCCACGAAGGUGAGUCUUUUAGUUGAGUCUCGUAAGAAAAUGAAUCGAGAUAAAAAUAAAUAAAAUAAGCCUAAUAAUAAUAAUAAUAAUAAAAUAAAAUUAAAAAAAAAGUAUAAAAACCCAUGAAACCCUAAACGCUCACGGUUGAAACCGUGCACCACCGCCGCAGCAGCAGCCUCCCUCACGCACAGUCACGCUCUACAGCAGCGGCCCUUUCUCUUCCCUCCUCCACGACAGCAACCAGCAGCAGCCAGCUGCUCCUCCGCAGUCCUUCCCCCUUCCACGAGCAGCCCCAGGCAGCAGCAUAGCAGGCUGCGCGCUCUCCAACAGCAGCCGGCUAAUCUGUGUACCGCCAGCAAGUCAGCAGCCACGUGGUGGUUGCUCCACCACCCCACAUGACCAUCAAUUGUGAUCCACCACUACAACCUUCACUUACUACCUUCAUUCCUUUUGCUAGUCCCAUCUUUGUUCCCAGUUCAUAAGAGGAAAGUAGAACUUAAUUGGGUGAUUUUUGUAACUCUUGGUUGUGCAGUGACGCUUGCAGCAGGGGGAUCAUAGCUUGACAUGACAGGUAUAGGAGCUUCUUUUGUUUUGCAUUGGGGGAACAGCGGAGUACAACCGUAACAAUUGUGUACAAUUGUCUAAUGCUUGUAGCUUCUAUAUUACUUGUAAAGUUUUCUUUGGGAUUGUAUAAUUUCUUUUGUAUGGAGCCAUGUGACUCCUUAUAUGAUCCAUAGUUCCGCCGCGUAAUUUUUUGGAUGUAUAGUAUUGAGAAUACUCCUUUAGUAUCCGUCAGAUCAAUGCGUUAACACUGGAACCACGAUCCUCAUUAGAGUUGAUGAUUUGAGAAGCUGACGAUGAUUCUUUCCGUCGUGACAUAUUCUUGAAGGCAUAAAUGCCUUAGAUGAUUAUAGUUAUAUUAUCCAAUUAUAUAUUUUUUGUCACAUCCUCAGUUUUCAACAGAGAUGCUGCCGAAAUUUCCACCUACUCACUUUUUAAUUAAUCCUUAGCGUUUAUUUUAAU